rnacentral:lncRNA from 1 species
AAUUAUUUGAGAAUAUGGCCUUCAACAGACAUGUACAAAAAAAGGACAAGACCUCUGGGUGGCCCUAGGUCAAGCUAGAGCCACCAUUGGCACAUGUGAGAUGCAGGAAGUGAGGUAGAGAACAGCCUCUGGAGUUCUUGGGACUUCCUGUGAAGAGGGCUAGAGGCAGUGGGAGGCUGGUGCUUGGAGUUGGAAGAGCCCCACAGACAGCUUUCCUUCAUAUUGGUCAUGUAAAUCAAGAGGAAAUGGUGAUUGGAACCAAAAGAUUAGAAGUACAACAGUCACUCACAUGCCUGAUCUCCC